AUUAAUAUAACUAUUAAAUAUUUUAGACAAAGCUUUUGUAAGUCAUUAUUCGAAAUAAAUUGUUGAACUUAUUUUUCUAUUUACAGUGUUGUAUACGCUACUGUUGAUUUUAGAUUUUAUAAAAAUAUUCCUGUUGUUGUCCAUUCCAGUGCAGAUUUGUUGAUUGACUGAUGAAGAAAAAAAGGCAAUUUGUGCUCUAUGCAAACAGCAGAUGGCGCUAACACACUAUUAUAGUUUCACUACGUUCUUUCAGAUUUCGGGGGGAAAAUUGCUGCUUCUUCUUUUGUAGCAUAACUCGUCAUGUUAAUUCAUUUCAACUCUUCAUCAACAACAAACAAGAACUGACAAAUACAAACAUGCAUCAAGAUUUCAUUUACUUUACUGCAUUCUACAGCUCAAAAUCUGUUUCACUGUCAAAUGUGCAUUGCUAUGUGAAGAAAUGCAGUAUUUUCAAUAAUA